rnacentral:rRNA from 1 species
GAAAGUAUUAAAGGGCGCAUGGCGGAUGCCUUGGCUCAUGGAGGCGAUGAAGGACGUGAUAAGCUGCGAUAAGCUUCGGGUAGAUGCAAAUGAUCUUUGAUCCGAAGAUUUCCGAAUGGGACAACCCGGCUGUCAGAAGGACAGUCACUCUGAUGAAUUUCAGAGAGCUAACGGAGGGAACUGAAACAUCUUAGUACCUCCAGGAAGAGAAAACAACAGUGAUUCCCCCAGUAGUGGCGAGCGACCGGGGAACAGCCCAAACCAGCGACGUAGCAAUGCGCCGCUGGGGUAGUAGGACUGCGAGAUUGUACAAUUAAUGCGAGCAGAACGUUUUGGAAAGAACGGCCAUAGCGGGUGACAGCCCCGUAAGCGAAGCGGCGAUUGACAUAGCAGUAUCCUGAGUAACGCGGAACACGUGGAAUUCUGCGCGAAUCGACCGGGACCAUCCGGUAAGGCUAAAUACUCCCAUGAGACCGAUAGUGUACCAGUACCGUGAGGGAAAGGUGAAAAGAACCCCGAUAAGGGGAGUGAAAUAGACCCUGAAACCAUGCGCCUACAAGCGGUCGGAGCAAGUAUAUCUUGUGACGGCGUGCCUUUUGCAUAAUGAACCUACGAGUUACCGUCACUGGCGAGGUUGAGGUAUUAAGUACCAGUGCCGUAGUGGAAGCGAGCCUGAACAGGGCGCAUGUCAGUGGUGGUAGACGCGAAACCAAGUGAUCUACACAUGUCCAGGAUGAAGUCCGGGUAACACCGGAUGGAGGUCCGCACCAAUAAGCGUUGAAAAGCUUCUGGAUGAGGUGUGUGUAGGAGUGAAAGGCCAAUCAAACUUGGAGAUAGCUCGUACUCCCCGAAAGGCAUUUAGGUGCCGCGUCGGAUGGUCACCGUGAGAGGUAGAGCGACCGAUAGGACAAGAGGGCUUCACCGCCUAUCGAGUCCUGACGAACUCCGAAUGCUCACGGUUUGCAGUCCGGCAGUAAGGGGGCGGGUGCUAAGGUCCGUCCCCGAGAGGAGAAGAAUCCAGACCGUCGUCUAAGGUCCCGGAAUUCUGUCUAAGUUAGUCUAACGAAGUCUGGUCCCCGUGACAGCCAGGAUGUUGGCUUGGAAGCAGCCAUUCAUUCAAAGAGUGCGUAACAGCUCACUGGUCGAGGGUCCGGGCGUGGAUAAUAAUCGGGUAUAAGACAGAUACCGAAGGCGCGGGAUAGUAAUAAUAAAAGUAUCGGUAGGGGAGCAUUCCAGCGACGUUGAAUGCAGCAGGACAACUGCUGCUGGAGUUUCUGGAAAAGCAAAUGUAGGUAUAAGUAACGAUUAGGGUGGCGAGAACCCACCCCGCCGUAAGUCUAAGGUUUCCCGGGCAAUGCCAGUCAUCCCGGGGUCAGUCGGGUCCUAAGUCUCAGCCGAACGGCGAGGGCGAUGGCAGAAACGGUUAAUAUUCCGUUACUGCCGCAUGGAGCGAUGUGGAGACGGAGCAGUGAAACUUCCGCGCACCGACGGAUGUGUGCGUUGAAGAGUGUAGACGUAGACAUGGGCAGGCAAAUCCACCCAUGGAGUUGAACUUGACAGUACGGAGUCUUCUUCGGAAGAGUCUGAUAGUGAAGGUAAUCAAACUCCCGAGAAAAUCCGCUAAGCUUAAUCCAUGCGGCACCCGUACCGCAAACCGACACAGGUAGACGGGUAGAACAUACUAAGGCGUUGAGCGAUUCAUGGUUAAGGAACUAGGCAAAUUGACCCCGUAACUUCGGGAUAAGGGGUCCUCACAGGAAUGUGAGGCGCAGAGAAUAGGUCCAGGCAACUGUUUAACAAAAACACAGGGCUGUGCGAACUCGAAAGAUGAAGUAUACAGCCUGACACCUGCCCGGUGCCGGAAGGUUAAGAGGAGAUGUCACCGCAAGGGAAGCAUUGAAUUGAAGCCCCGGUAAACGGCGGCCGUAACUAUAACGGUCCUAAGGUAGCGAAAUUCCUUGUCGGGU